GCCAGCGCUAGAUUAUAUAUAUGGUAGGUUGUGGUGUUGAAGGGAAGAAGUAUGGGUGUUAGCCGCUUUGGUAGUUUGAUGGAGAGACGAUGGAGAAGGAGCUUAGGAUUCUAGAAAGCUCGUGGGAUGGGUGAGGGGGUAAGACAAUGGACUGUUUCAGUCUUUUGGAAACAGAAAUAAAGAAGAAGGCUGGUUUAUGUCUUGCCUACUCCGCCCAUGCCACUGGUUUCCUGGUGUUCCUCCUCCUCCUAAAGUCUCUGCUGCUGCUGCUGCUGCUGCUGCUGCUGCUGCUGCUGCUUGCAUCCUAAGAUCUAUCUUUGAGAUUGAUCUGUUCAUGUUCUGGAACCUUGGUGAAAAUGGAGAAAAGUUAAAAGAUUUAAGCCUUGACUGAGUGGGAUUGACUCAACUUUAUACCGUACAGUGACCGGUAUUUAGAUCGGACAAGUUGCUAGAAAGCAUAAAGAUGUUAAGAUCUGUAAAUGAUUUCACUUGUGAUCUAAUUCACUCCUCCAGCAAAACCUAGGCUGAAAGCAAUAAUGCACCCUUUCCACUCCACAAGGGUACCAAAUAAGCAGCAAGCUGGACUUCACAUAAAUUCAAUUCCAAAAUGAUUUCACAAAAA